rnacentral:rRNA from 1 species
ACUCAAAGGAAUUGACGGGGGCCCGCACAAGCGGUGGAGCAUGUGGUUUAAUUCGAUGCAACGCGAAGAACCUUACCUACCUUUGAAUCCACGGAAUGCUGCAGAGAUGUGGCAGUGCCUUCGGGAACCGUGAGACAGGUGCUGCAUGGCUGUCGUCAGCUCGUGUCGUGAGAUGUUGGGUUAAGUCCCGUAACGAGCGCAACCCUUAUCCUUAGUUACCAUCGAGUAGAGUCGGGAACUUUAAGGAGACUGCCGGUGAUAAACCGGAGGAAGGUGGGGAUGACGUCAAGUCCUCAUGGCCCAUACAGGUAGGGCUACACACGUGCUACAAUGGCCGGUACAAAGGGUUGCGAACUCGCGAGGGGGAGCCAAUCUCAAAAAGCCGGUCGUAGUCCGGAUUGGAGUCUGCAACUCGACUCCAUGAAGCUGGAAUCGCUAGUAAUCGUGGAUCAGCACGCCACGGUGAAUACGUUCCCGGGCCUUGUACACACCGCCCGU